rnacentral:lncRNA from 1 species
CCGAGACGAAAUCCGAGCUGAAAGCCAAACUAAAAAGGUAAGCAAUCGCCACUACAUAUUACAUUACAAUUUGAUUGACAAAAAAGAAAAAAUGUAUGUAAUAUGAAGGCCAAUAUUUGAGUUUAGAUUAUUAUUUUGAAUGUUAAUUUGAUCAGGCCAAUUUGUAAGCCGAUAUUUGAGCUUAGAUAAUUACUUUGAAUGAUAAUUUGAUCAGGCCAUUUGUAAGGAGUAUGGUCAAGAAUUUAGAGCUGCAAUACAAGAAGAGAGAGCUGCUCGGGACUUGCUCAAAUCGAAACGGCAAGAGAUGGAUUCAAUUCAAUCCAUCAUGAACAGAUUAAACAAUGCACUUUCUGUAGGGGAUAUAGAUGGCAAGGUAUGUGUGCAUUCAUUUUUUUCUUCCAAAUAUAUUUUAUCAGGAUUUGAUUCUUAUGUCUGUUUUGUUGUGUUAACUUUUCUAGAUUUAUAAUUUAUUAUUGGCAGAUUAGAAACAUGGAACACAUGAUCCAGCAUGAAACUCUGCCUCUAAAAGAAGAAAAGCAAUUGAUCCGCCAAAUUAAACAAUUGAAGCAGAAUCGCGACGAGUUGUCCACUAUUAUUGCAAAACAGGACCAAUCACAAUCUCUAGAUGAUAAAGACAGUAUUGAAGAGCACUCUAAGGUACUAGAGUCAGGAUGCUUUUCAUUAUAUUUCCUGAAUAUCUACCGCCAUCUUUUGUAUUAGCUGGCAGAAACUCAUUGUCUUUGACUUAAAUAUUUUCAGCAAUUACAGCUUUUGAAGAAGGAAUUGGAAGUGCUUAGAAGUAAUGUUUUGAAGACAGAAGCAAUAACUAAAGCAGCAAAGAAGAAAUAUGAUGAAGAAUCUAAUCAACUGAGUGAGGUUCUGGCUCGGUUUAAGGCUGCUGAUGACCUUCGUCAAGAGGCAUAUGUCAAGUUACAGACUUUGAAAAGGCAAUUGCAUGAGAAGGUUUGAUCUUGCUUUCCUGUCUACUUCAUUCCUUUUCUUUUCCUUACUUAGUCCCUGAGGAAAAACCAUUGUACAAAGAUGUCUGUUUUGUUUGUCAGAACAGAACAAAUUUUACUCUUUCGUUGUUUUGGCUUUAAUAUUUUGAUGCUUGAAAAGUGCUUAUUCACAACGAGGAAGGUAGGAAGAUUUAUUUGAUGCUAAUGCAAAAUUUAAGGGAGAUUGUGUAUGAGUUCCAAUACUAGCUUAUAGCAAUCUAGUUGCUUAAUCUAGCUGCUCUGUAAAAAUACAAAGGAAAUCAAAACCAUGAAGUAAUAAUCGAUCAUUGAGUAGCUAGUGCAAAAGGAAUAUGUUCCUUGUUCCCUUUGUGGUUUUCUUGUGCCAUUAAAUUGCACAACAAAUGUCACAUGCCUUUGUGAAUUAUAGAAUUUAAUACUUAGGCUGUGUUCACAUAAUGAAUAUCUCAAUUUCAGGAUUACCAUUACCAUAUUAUCUAGGUUACACUGAAUAGUGUCCGGAGACUAAUGUUAGUAGGGGCAAACACAUAUCACCUCAACCUUUUCCUUUUUUUCUGUAUUUUUCCCUUUUUCUAAUAUUUAAUCUGCUGAACUCAAUUUAAUCUGCUUGAUCUUUCAUUAAUUUAAUAACUUUUUCUGUUUUGGAAGCAAAGCAUUUAGACUUGCUCAAUAAAAAUGUACAAUGCUAAGAGCAAAUACUGAGCCUAGGUUUUUUCGCAAUGCUGCAGAGCAAAUAUUUUUGGGAAUACAAGAACGCCUCAACGAAAGGGCAAGAACUAGCAAUACAAGGGAAGAAAGAGGAGCUGCAAAGCUUCUGUAUUGAUCAGGUAAUCAUUUUUUCCGAUUUAAAUAAGUAGAAAGAUUAUUUUUCCUUUACUGCACUAUAUUAUUAGGCACACAAACUUGAAUUCGGCACUUACCAAUUAGCAAUUCAGGCUGAGCGAAUAAUGGAAAUGUGGAACAAAAAUGAAGAGUUCAGAAAGAACUAUAUCCGAUGCAACACCAGGAGUACACUGAGGAGACUGCAAACUUACGAUGGCCGAUCGCUUGGUCCUGAUGAAGAGCCUCCUGUGAUUCCUAAUGCCUUCGUUGAAAGAACUUCCAAAAAUGACUCUUUGGUCUCGCGGUCAAUUCCUGAACAACAAAAGAAAUCAACACCAACAGAAUCUGUUAAUACAAAGGAUGAACCGGCUUCUGAGGUUGCGGUACAAAAACCUGAAAUAGAUCAGACAACUAAAGCUAAAAAGCCUGCUAAACCAGCUCCUUCGGAGAAGAAGUCAAAGGCUCCAGUUCGGCGUUGGGGAGAUGAGUCUGAUGAAGAUACGAAAGAAGAACCUAAGGAACCUGUGAGAACAAAGGAGGAAGAGGAGCGGAUCUUAAAGGCUGAAAAGGCGAGGAAGGAGGAAGAAGAAGCAAAGCAAAAGGAAAUGAAAAGGCUAGAGGAAAUUGAGAAAGCUAAAGAGGCACUGCAGAGGAAAAAGCGUAAUGCAGAGAAGGCCCAACAAAGGGCUGCCUUUAAGGCACAAAAAGAAGCUGAACAAAAAGAGAAGGUAAUAAUAGCAUUAUGAUUUAGACUUAAAGCCAUCAGUUUAAUUGCCAUCGCAGCAAUGGUAAAAAAGUUUCACACAUUCCUUUAAUCACAUAAAAUCAAGAUGUCUCUUGGUUAUAUAAAUAUUACAAAUUUCUACACGAUAAAAUGUGAUUGAAUAUAUUAAAUAAUUUUACACUGGAAAUAUUAUUACACUUUUGGGUUACCAGAGCCUUUUCCCUUGAAAACUGAAGGGUUAAGGUCAAAAACUUUUUAUGUGUAGUUAGUUGUACUUGUACAGCUAUAUAAUAUAAACAUGCAUAUUCUUGUAGGAAAGGGAGAAAAGAGCAAGGAAGAAGGGGAAAAGAAAGGGAGUUUCUACUGAAGAUAUUGUGGACAAUACAGAACAAGAAUCUGCAGCUUCUCCUAGCUCUGAAACUCUGACAAGAACUACAGAAGUAAGUGAUCAGAGUGAAAAACCAGUUGAGGUAAUAAAAAGGCCG